rnacentral:lncRNA from 1 species
UAAUGCUUUUAGUAAUGUAAUCCUUUCCUUAUCCUCUCCUUGUUGAAAGAUGGGCCAGGUUUUGGCAGAUGAUGGCACAGAGAAGCAUUACAAGUGUCAGGGACAAUGUGAGAAAAGGCAGAAGAAGGAAGACUCAAAUCUGAGAAUGUCCCAUGAUCCUGCACCCACCUGCCUCAACUACCGCAUGUUCACGCAAAUAAAAAUAUGUUACUGAGUAAAUGAACUGUAUCUGGGCGAAUAAAUGAACUGUAUCUGGGCAAAUAAAUGAAUUAAAUACUUAUAAA